AUUACUAUCUAAAAUUUUUUAAUAAAUAUUUUUCUUUAAAUAAUAGAUAAUAAGAAUUAUUAAUAAAAAAAAAAAAGGAAAAUAAAAUUAGAACACUUCAUGUUUCCUCUCUCCCUCACGUUACCCUCAUUUCCAUCACCAGCUACCCACUCCAUCAGUCUCUCUCAGCGAAAAUACAAAAAGAAAAGAAUAAGGUUUUGUCCGUUGGAGGUUGCUAUAUAUUACUCUCUCUGCUGACUUCACAAAGGGGACCAACAGACACUAACUUACUCUCUCUCUCUCAAAAAAUAAAGAAAAGGAUUAAAAAUAGAAAAAGAGAAGAAGCCUCUGGGUCUUUCCCUGAGCGCCUCACCCUUAACCAUUACCAUUCCUCUUCUUCAAAUACUCCAUUGUCUUCCACCCUUUCACCACACUAACACCUCAUUUCGCUUACG
rnacentral:lncRNA from 1 species